rnacentral:rRNA from 1 species
GACGAACGCUGGCGGCGUGCCUAAUACAUGCAAGUUGAGCGCUGAAGGUUGGUACUUGUACCAACUGGAUGAGCAGCGAACGGGUGAGUACCGCGUGGGGAAUCUGCCUUUGAGCGGGGGACAACAUUUGGAAACGAAUGCUAAUACCGCAUAAAAACUUUAAACACAAGUUUUAAGUUUGAAAGAUGCAAUUGCAUCACUCAAAGAUGAUCCCGCGUUGUAUUAGCUAGUUGGUGAGGUAAAGGCUCACCAAGGCGAUGAUACAUAGCCGACCUGAGAGGGGGAUCCGCCACAUUGGGACUGAGACACGGCCCAAACUCCUACGGGAGGCAGCAGUAGGGAAUCUUCGGCAAUGGACGAAAGUCUGACCGAGCAACGCCGCGUGAGUGAAGAAGGGUUUCGGAUCGUAAAACUCUGUUGGUAGAGAAGAACGUUGGUGAGAGUGGAAAGCUCAUCAAGUGACGGUAACUACCCAGAAAGGGACGGCUAACUACGUG